rnacentral:tRNA from 1 species
GCGGUGUUAGCUCAGUUGGUAGAGCACUGGAUUGUGAUUCCAGUGGUCACGGGUGCCGGGGGUCGUGAGUUCGAGUCUCGCCGGGCGCGCCA